GCUGGGCACGGUUGGGCACGCCUGUAAUCCAAGCAGCUCGGAGGCUGAGGCAAGAGGAUUGUGAGUCAGCCUCAGCAAAAUCGAGGCUCUGAGCAACUCAGUGAAACCCUGUCUCUA
rnacentral:sRNA from 1 species